rnacentral:tRNA from 1 species
GAGCCAUUAGCUCAGUCGGUAGAGCAUCUGACUUUUAAUCAGAGGGUCGAAGGUUCGAGUCCUUC